GACGAACGCUGGCGGCGUGCUUAACACAUGCAAGUCGAACGGAAAGGCCCUGCUUUUGUGGGGUGCUCGAGUGGCGAACGGGUGAGUAACACGUGAGUAACCUGCCCUUGACUUUGGGAUAACUUCAGGAAACUGGGGCUAAUACCGGAUAGGAGCUCCUGCUGCAUGGUGGGGGUUGGAAAGUUUCGGCGGUUGGGGAUGGACUCGCGGCUUAUCAGCUUGUUGGUGGGGUAGUGGCUUACCAAGGCUUUGACGGGUAGCCGGCCUGAGAGGGUGACCGGCCACAUUGGGACUGAGAUACGGCGCAGACUCCUACGGGAGGCAGCAGUGGGGAAUAUUGCACAAUGGGCGGGAGCCUGAUGCAGCAACGCCGCGUGCGGGAUGACGGCCUUCGGGUUGUAAACCGCUUUCGCCUGUGACGAAGCGUGAGUGACGGUAAUGGGUAAAGAAGCAACGGCUAACUACGUG
rnacentral:rRNA from 1 species